rnacentral:rRNA from 1 species
UGCGUAGGCGGCUGAUUAAGUCGGAUGUGAAAUCCCUGAGCUUAACCUAGGAAUUGUAUUCGAUACUGGUCAGCUAGAGUAUGGGAGAGGAUGGUAGAAUUCCAGGUGUAGCGGUGAAAUGCGUAGAGAUCUGGAGGAAUACCGAUGGCGAAGGCAGCCAUCUGGCCUAAUACUGACGCUGAGGUACGAAAGCAUGGGGAGCAAACA